GGCGCUAUAGCCAAGUGGUUACGGCGACAGAUUCGAAUGCUAUACGCGAUAUCUGUUACUCUUCGAGUGCGCAGGUUCGAAUCCUGCUGGCGUCG
rfam:Paxillus involutus ATCC 200175 unplaced genomic scaffold PAXINscaffold_10, whole genome shotgun sequence.